AACCAAGGACAGUAAAACGAAGACUAGGACAACAAAGCCCAUGAUUCAAUGCGCGUAUGACUACAAUACAGGCGCCAUUAUUGGAGCCCACUCAAGAAGUGGAGGGUAAAGGUAAUACAAAGCAUUGAGAAAUGGUGUGUUGUGCAGCGCCAAAGUGCUCUAAAAGGGGUGAUAGACGGCAGAAGAAACGGACUUUUCGUUUCCCAAAGGAUAGAAACAGAUGUAAGGAAUGGGUCUUAUCAAUCAACAGAGUAGGACCGGACGGAGUGACGCUCUGGACUCCUACUCCGGGUUCCAGGCUAUGUGAGGACCAUUUUUCAAGUGCCCAGUUUGACAGCUAUGGUUUCCUCAAGCGUAACGCUGUACCAGAUAAGGUUCUUGGCGCUCCUGUAAGACCAAGCAGACGUACCAAAACUAGGCAACAGGCAGCAGUACAAGUAACCUCAACCACAACAAUGUACAGCAUAACUGAUCAUUCCUACUGCAAGCUGAUUGGAGGUGACCAUCCUCUGGAACAUGAAGUUUCCACCCACGUGGAUUCUGAUGCAUCAAAAGACGACACUGAGCAUUCCUGUCCUGAAAUGAAUGCACAUGAUCCAUCUGUGGAAGGUGGGUCCUCUGUCCAUGUUCAUUCAAAUUCACCAAAAGACACUACUGAUCUUUCUGCAUGUGAAACUCCUGUGCAUCAUGCUUGUGUGGAAGAUCCAUCCUCUUUCCACGACAAUGUUGAUCCACCAGAGGAUAUAUCAGAAGUAACAGUGCGAACCUUUGACAAUGUCAAAGACAGGCCAUCACAAGACAAAGAUCUAUUGAUUGAGAGUCUCAAACUGGAGGUGGAGAGAAAGGAACGGAUGCUGGCCCAAAUCUUCCGUCCAGAUCAAAUAGAGUGGCUUGAGAGCAGACUCACACCUGGCUCAGGACAUGAUCUUUACAAGUGGUCUUCAGAGACACUUAGUAACAGUUUGAAGAUCAGAAUUGCUUGUGGACUGAACGGAUAUGAAUACCUAAGAAAGGGCGUGUGUGGGGAGUGUUGUCAGGGAUCAAAGGUCAUUGAUCAGUUGCGGGACCAAUGACCUUAGUCAUGUGACCAAGGAACUCAUUGGUUGUUGAUGACAAUUUGAGAACUCAAGUAUCCAAUCCCAAGUUACCGCACGAUAACCCGACAUUUUGGCGCCGUUAAAUUUGCCCCAGGCAUUUAAUAUGACAUUGCACCUCCCAGAAAUUGCUCGCCUUGCAAUUUUGAAGCAAUCCCCCACAACAGCUCAGGAGAACUGAAGGUCAGUGGGCGUCCUCCGAUACCAAGACCAAGUAAAUUGCUUCUUUGCACCCGGGAACUCGAGAGCGGAUGUCGACGAGCUACCGGCCUCUGGAGGCCAAAUGCCAGCCCUGCAUGUGUCCGUCAGAGAUCACUGAGUGCCUGGCCGAUAGGGUUUGCCGUAGAGCAAUGAGGAGAGAGUCCCUGCUAGAUUUGCUGGUGCACCAGAACCAAUGCGAUGCUCCCUCUGGAAUCCCCCUCAAAGACCAUGACUUGGCACAGACAGGAACCUGUGCACUCAUGACUGUAUAACACCCUACACACCACGCAGCCAUGCUUUUACCAGGUAAGCCACUCGGCCCCCUAUGUAAAUAUUUAAUGAUGUGAGUUCCCUCUUCUGUAAAAUGAAAGCGGUUUGAGAAAAAAGACUUGCAUCCUGAAUCUGCAGAGAGGGUUUGAAUCGGAAGAAAAAAGAGAACCAAAAAACCACUGGAAACAGGAAAUGAGGAUUUCUAUUGUUGUUGACACCUGUUGAAGAUUCUAACCCCGCUUCCCCCUAUAGUUCUUAUAUUUUAUUUAAAUAAAGUGUAAUAUAAAAAAGAGACUUGGUUUUAGUUCUUCAUCCAAGUACAGUUUUUAAUCAUUAGAGGUUACUGUGUAUUUUUGUUAAACAGUCAUCAACUACCUUUCAACUAAUAAGAGACCUGCAAAUAAUUUAGAGUUGUAAAUGACUUAUUUGUAAAUGCAGACUCUGGGUAUACUCUGUCUGGAACUGCACUAAACUGGUUUAAAUGUUAUUAUCCUUGGGAGAUUCAGCAUCAGGAUUAUCUAUAAUUCCUGUAGCAUUCCCCAGGGUUCCAUUCUUGGUCCCAUAUUAUUUUCUUUAUGCAUGCUACCGCUGGGGGAGAUAUUUUGCAAACACAGUGUACAUUUUCACAGCUGUGCUGAUGACACACAGCUUUAUAUUUCUGUGAAACCUACGGAUACCUAUGCAGUCUCUGAAUUAAUUGAGUGUCUGAAUGAUGUAAAAAUCUGGUUGUCUCAAAAUUUCUUGACGUUAAACUUGGAUAAGACAGAAGUUUUGAUUUUGGCGUCUCGGCAACAGCUAGAAUGUGCCAAUUCUCGAAUUUAAAUUCAAACCCAAAAUCAAAGGCCAGAAAUGUGGGAUUCACGUUUGAUUCUGAUUUAUGUAUUGAGGCUCAUAUUCGACAUAUUGCUAAGAUUAUGUCUUGUCUUUCAUUGCCGGAUUCUGAGAAGUUAAUUCAUGCUUUUGUCUCAUCUAGACUUGAUUUACUGCAAUGCUCAUUUUGCCAAAGAUUAAGACAAAAAGGAAAGGAGAAACAGCUUUCAGUUACAAUGCUCCCAGAUUAUGGAAUAAACUACCAUCUUGACAUUAGAGAUGCAGAGUCACUUCAUAUUUUUUAAAUAGCAUUUUAUAUAAAAUGUUACAUUAUUAUUUUUUUUUAUUUCUCUAAUAUUGAUGUGUUUUUUUGGUGUUUUGAUUUAUUUUAUUGUAUUUUUUUUGUUUGUAAAUUUAAGGGUGUAUAAUUUGUGGGAUAAAUGUGAAACAAGCCUAGUUCCACAAACCUGUCAAAUGUAGUUUUUCACACAUCUGCAAAUGUAACUUGUGAUCGUAUUUUGAUACGUAUCAAUAUGAGGAAAUGUUCGGUUUGCGAGUACUUCUGUCUAGAAUAAAACAAAUCAUUACAGUAAAGUCGCUAAGAAAUGUUAGGUUCAUAUCAUAAUCCUGCUUCCCUGAAAUAGAAAUGUAACCAUUACCACAUGGGUAUUUACUGCCUAAGGAACCAGAAACCUGAAUAUUGAUAUACCAAAGCUGCUGAAUGAUCCUGUGACACAGUCAUGCCCCGCCCCUGAGGGUACCUAAGGACUGCGCUCACAUACCUCAGCGUCAUUCUUCCUUCAAGCCUGCUGCAAUCAUGGACGCAGCGACCUUGAUGAUAAUAACCUAGCGUUCUCUUUCAAGUACGAAAUGUAACCAUUAUCGUGUGGGUGAGUGUACCAAAGCCAUCACAAGAGCAAGAUUGCAAAAUGACUGGAAUGCUACAAGGCUAAGCUGAGAGGCUGUCUUGUGUGUUACCAUACUGAAACCCAGUAACAAGUAGCUAGGGUGAAAAACUUGAGGGAGAAACUCACCUCUCAACUCCUGUAUUGUAAGGGUCCACUGGGAAACCGCCAUUAACAGUUAAGCUCCAAAACCAGGGUUUUGAGGAUACACGACAUUCAGCCUGUAGAACCUGGUAAAGUUAUGGAGAGUAGCCCACACCGCCACAUUUGCAUAUGUCCUUGACAGAUGCACCCUGGAAUAAAGCCCUCAAAGUUGCCAUGACCCUGGUGGCAGUGAGCUUUACUGGAGGGGGCAAGUUGGCCUACUCAUAGGCAGUCCUGACUGUGUGUGCUAUCCACUUGGACAGCCACUGCUUAGACAGGGCUUGACCAUGGGUCUUCGCCCCAUAGCAGACAAAAAAUUGUUCAGACUGCCUCCAACUUUUAGUCCUGUCAACGUAGUACGCCUGGGCCCACACUGGGCAGAGCAUAUGGAGCUGCUGCUCUCUGUCAGACAGGAAAGGAGGCAGAUGGAAAGCCUCCAAUUCCACAGACUGGUUGACGUGGAAUGCCGAGAUUGUCUUCGGCAAAAAGGCAGGAUUGGUACGAAGUGUAACCUUUGCCCUGGCCUCUCUAAAAAUUAAGCAGGCUUUCGCUAUCGAGAAUGCCUGCAUCUUACUCACCCGCUUUGUGGAGGUGAUAGUGAGCAAGAACCCGAGGGUACAGUGGGUUGAUCUAUCUCUGCUCUCCUGAACCUCUCCCAAAUGAGGCUCACCACCUCGGGGUGAAGCCUCCACUCUGAGCCACUGGGAACUCUCCUUGAGACAAGGUCCACCUCCCAGUUUGUCACCCCAGGCAGAUGUACUGGAGGUUCUUGUGUGCCCAGAGCAAAAGCUUGUGGGCCACGUGAUGGAGACACGGUUAUGGUUAUCUGUAUGGACAAGCACAUGUCUCCCUCGAACCGCUUGGAAAAAAUUCUGCAAGGCCAGGUAAACCGCCUGCAGCUCUAACAUUCCACGCAGUGCUCCAGCCCAGACUGCGGUACACGUAGGUGUAGAUGAGCCGGCUGUUUCCACCAAGAAUGCCUUUAGACAGUGAUGAGACACUGUCAAUAGGUGGCCACGGUUCAAUAUGUGCUGCAAAACCCUGCUGUUGAACCAUGCCUGCAGAGGGCACAUGUGCAGGAGACCCAAUGGAAGGGUCUGGGAAGCUGCUGCCAUCAGGGCCAGAAGUUUCUGGAACGUUACUACCUUUAGCACUCUGCUGUGCUGAAAGAGCUCUAAGCAGGCGACUAUUCUCUGCAGUCUGCCGUUUGACAGAGUGGACAACAUGGCCCUAGAGUCCAAGCACACUUCUAGAUAGGAGGCUGUCUAGGAAGGCAUGAGCUGGCUCUUCGCAUGACUCACAGUAAGGCCUAACUAUUGAAGGCGGCUGGUGACAACUUCCGUGUGGGCCUCUGCCAGUCAGUCAUCCAGAUAAUUGAGCACUCUGAUGCCUUUGAGUGUCAGUGUGGCUCCAGGAUAGCUUCCAUGCACUUCAAGAAGGCACGUGGAGCUAGGGAGAGGCCAAAUGGCAAGACACAGAACUGGUACGCUGUUCCCUGAAAGGCGAACCACAGGUACUUCCUGUGCGCUGGUCUUAUGGGGAUGUGGAAAUAGCUGUCUUUUGAGGUCCACCAUGGUUAAUCAGUCGCCUGGCCUGAUUGACUGCAACAGCUGUUGUAUCAUCAACAUUUUGAACACCUUCGGCUCAGAUACAGGUUGACCUGUAUGAGGUUGAGGCUACCAUCCCACUUUGGCACUAGGAAGUACCUGGAGUAAAAACACUCCUCCCACUAUCAUGUGAAUAGCCAGUUUUUGCAGCAGAGCUGCUCCCUCCUGAGACACCACAGUGGCAUCCUGUGGGUCCGUGAUUGAUGUUGUAGUGGAAGGGAGGGGGAGCAUGCUUGAACUACAGCUGAAUAACCGCUCUGAAUAAUAAGCAUUCAGAUGUCCGUGGUGCAUUGAACAUAAGAAGAACAUAAGAAAGUUUACAAACGAGAGGAGGCCAUUCAGCCCAUCUUGCUUGUUUGGUUGUUAUUAUUAUUAUUAUUUAUUUCUUAGCAGACGCCCUUAUCCAGGACGACUUACAAUUGUUACAAGAUAUCACAUUAUUUUUUACAUACAAUUACCCAUUUAUACAGUUGGGUUUUUACUGGAGCAAUCUAGGUAAAGUACCUUGCUCAAGGGUACAGCAGCAGUGUCCCCCAGCUGGGAUUGAACCCACAACCCUCCGGUCAAGAGUCCAGAGCCCUAACCACUACUCCACACUGCUGCCCUUGUUAGUAGCUUAUUGAUCCCAGAAUCUCAUCAAGCAGCUUCUUGGAGGAUCCCAGGGUUCCAGACCCUCACAAUUCUCUGUGUAAAAAAGUGCCUCCUAUUUUCUCUUCUGAAUGCCCCUUUAUCUAAUCUCCAUUUGUGACCCCUGGUCCUUGUUUCUUUUUUCAGGUCAAAAAAGUCCCCUGGGUCGACAUUGUCUAUACCUUUUAGGAUUUUGAAUGUUUGAAUCAGAUCGCCGCGUAGUCUUCUUUGUUCAAGACUGAAUAGAUUCAAUUCUUUUAGGCUGUCUGCAUAUGACAUGCCUUUUAAACCCGGGAUAAUUCUGGUUGCUCUUCUUUGCACUCUUUCUGGAGCAGCAAUAUCCUUUUUGUAACGAGGUGACCAGAACUGAAAACAAUAUUCUAGGUGAGGUCUUACUAAUGCAUUGUAAAGUUUUAACAUUACUUCCCUUUAAAUUCAACACUUCUCACAAUAUAUCCUAGCAACUUGUUGGCCUUUUUUAUAGCUUCCCCACAUUGUCUAGAUGAAGACAUUUCUGAGUCAACAUAAACUCCUAGGUCUUUUUCAUAGUUCCCUUCUUCAAUUUCAGUAUCUCCCAUAUGAUAUUUAUAAUGCACAUUUUUAUUGCCUGCAUGCAAUACUUUACACUUUUCUCUAUUAAAUAUCAUUUGCCAUGUGUCUGCCCAGUUCUGAAUGCUGUCUAGAUCAUUUUGAAUGACCUUUGCUGCUGCAACAGUGUCUGCCACUCCUCCUAUUUUUGUGUCGUCUGCAAAUUUAACAAGUUUGCUUACUAUACCAGAAUCUAAAUCAUUAAUGUAGAUUAGGAAUAGCAGAGGACCUAAUACUGAUCCCUGUGGUACACCACUGGUUACCUAGCUCCAUUUUGAGGUUUCUUCUCUAAUCAGUACUUUCUGUUUUCUACAUGUUAAGAACAUAAGAAUAUAAGAAAGUUUACAAAUGAGAGGAGGCCAUUCAGCCCAUCUUACUCGUUUUGGUUGUUAGUAGCUUAUUGAUCCCAGAAUCUCAUCAAGCAGCUUCUUGAAGGAUCCCAGGGUGUCAGCUUCAACAACAUUACUGGGGAGUUGGUUCCAGACCCUCACAAUUCUCUGUGUAAAAAAAGUGCCUCCUAUUUUCUGUUCUGAAUGCCCCUUUAUCUAAUCUCCAUUUGUGACCCCUGUUCCUUGUUUCUUUUUUCAGGUCAAAAAUGUCCCCUGGGUCGACAUUGUCUAUACCUUUUAGAAUUUUGAAACCACUCCCUAAUCCAUGUGCAUGCAUUUCCUUGAAUCCCUACUGCGUUCAGUUUGAGAAUUAAUCUUUUAUGCUGGACUUUGUCAAAAGCUUUCUGGAAAUCUAAAUAAACCAUGUUGUAUGCUUUGAAAUUAUCCAUUGUCAAUGUUGCAUCCUCAAAAAAGUCAAGCAGGUUAGUUAGACACGAUCUCCCUUUCCUAAAACCAUGCUGACUGUCUCCCAGGAUAUUGUUACCAUAUAGGUAAUUUUCCAUUUUAUUAUAGUUUCCAUAAGUUUACAUAUAAUAGAAGUCAGGCUUAUUGGUCUGUAGUUACCUGGUUCGGUUUUGUCUCCCUUUUUGUGGAUCGGUAUUACGUUUGCUAUUUUCCAGUCUGUCGGUACAACCCCUGUGUCAAGAGACUGUUGCAUGAUCUUGGUUAGCUUGUAACCAAGUUUGUAAAUAACUUCUUUCAUUUCUUUGAGUACUAUUGGGAGGAUCUCAUCCGGCCCAGGGGAUUUGUUUAUUUUAAGAGCUCCUAGUCCCUUUAACACUUCUGCCUCUGUUAUGCUAAAGUUAUUUAAAAUUGGAUAGGAACAGGUCUACAUGUGGGGCAUGUUGUCCAUGUCCUCCUUUGUAAAAACCUGUGAAAAGUAAUCAUUUAAUAUAUUUGCUAUUUUUUUUUCUUCAUCUAUGAUUUUGCCAUUUGUUUCUCUUAGACAUUUAACCUCCUCUUUGAAUGUUCUCUUGCUCUUAUAAUAUUGGAAAAACAUUUUGGAAUUGGUUUUAGCCCCUUUAGCAAUAUUGAUUUCUAUCUCUCUCUUGGCCUUUCUAACUUAUUUUUGACUUGUGUUUGCAGUUCCAAGUACUCUUUCUGUGUACUUUGUUUUUGGUCCCUUUUAAACGCUCUGUAAAGUGCCUUUUUUCGCUGAAUAUUUUUUUUAAUUGAUCUAUUAAACCAUUUUGGCCAUUUUGUUUUAGAUUUAGAUUUGUCUACUUUUGGGAUGUAAUUGUUUUGCGCCUCUAGUACUACAUUUUUAAAAAACAGCCAUCCUUUUUCUGUGGAUGUUUUCUCUAUUUUACUCCAAUCUACUUUUGUUAGUCUCUGUUUCAUACCUUCAUAGUUUGCUUUUCUAAAAUUGUAAACCUUAGCUUUAGUCAUUACUUUUGGGGUUUUAAAAAAUACUUCAGUUUGCCAAUGGCUCUCUGACCUCUGUUUUAAUUAUUCUGUCUUCGUUAUUUAAAAAGACUAAACCAAGGCAUGCCUCCCCUCUAGUCGGUGCCUUGACAAAGUGCGUUAGGAAGCAGUCGUUUGUCAUUUCCACCAUUUCAAUUUCGUCCGUCGUGCCCCCCACCGGGUUCUCCCAUUUUAUACGGGGGAAGUUGAAAUCCUCCAUUAGUAUGGCUUCUCCUUUUCUACACGCAUUUCGAAUGUCAUUGUAUAACAGAUUAUUUUGUUCAGCGUCUGAAUUUGGCGGUCUAUAGCAUGCUCAUGUUAUUAUGCCCUUUGAAUUUUUGUCCAUUAUUCUGACCCAUAUUGAUUCUGCAUUGUUUUCUUUGUCCUGAUUUAACACCUGGGCUUCAAGGAAAGACAGGCAGGACAGAAGAGGAGGAGGGGUAGCGCUAUACAUAAGAAAUAGUCUUGAAGCCCAGGUGUUAAAUCAGGACAAAGAAAACAAUGCAGAAUCAAUAUGGGUCAGAAUAAUGACACCGAUACUCCAGAUGGCUCCCUGAAAAGGAGCCCUGGGCCUGUGGCAGCAAACUCCUAGUACUGCUGCUCAACCUGUGGCUUGGCCCGUCCCAAACAUCACCUCUGUGCCAGUCUUUGAGGCUGCUGGAGCCAAGGGCGCCAGUUUGCCGCUGGUUUGUGCACUGGAGGUGGUCGUUUGGGAAGCAGGCGAACCAGCUCCUUCGUGGAUUCCUGUCUGCAGUGAGAAAUUAGGCACCUGGACCAAGGUGGCAAUAGAAGCCUCAACUGGCGGAAAUUAUAUAUAGUGCGUCCAUCGACCAGGAAACAGCUGUUGCCGGAUGAUACCAGGAAAAAGAAAAUCUGGGUGAACUCGGGUGGAUACGGGAUAGGCGGUAGACUCAUCGAAAAUCGAGUUCCUUGUUUCGGCUUCUGUAGGCCAGGGCACUUACAAUAUUGCAGUGCUCCUCUUGAUCAGCGGUAGAAGCUCUGCCGACAGGGAGUGCUUAACUGCAGGGGAUGAGCUGUCAGACUCCUGAGGAGUCCUCAGACAGGAACUGUUCACCUACCUCCUCAGAAGUGGCAAUGGACAGUAUGUCCUCCUGUGGCCAAUCUGCGCUCGUAGGCCCCAAGGGGACAGGCAGGCAGGCGGCACUGAACGGUCCCACAGUAAUUCCGUGAGAACAUUUCCUUGUGUGUGCAAGGCCUCGAAAUGGCACACGGAGAGUUCAGGAUUUCAGGUGAAACGGUGCAUGAACGUUUGUUUACAAAAAAACAACCGAAAACUGGUCACAAAAUAAAUGGGUACAUAGGUACCUGGAGGAAGCGCACAUAUAUAGUGAAGCGUAUUUAAACAGAUUUCUGUUCAUUUGCAGGAUGAGGUAUCCCUGCAGCAACAAUGUUGUUGCUCUGCAAUCUUCUGAAGCAAUCGUUACCUUGCAGGAGAUAAAAACAGGAGAGUUUACUGUACCAUCAAAGACAUAUGUGGCUGCAUUUCCUUGGUCCCAGGAGAGGCUGCCCCCUUUUGUACACCUUGGCUUCGCCCCUUAUCCAAUUAUCUGGGUUUGGAACCAGGUGUACCUUGUUCCCCUCCGCCAGCCUCCUGGCAGGCUGACACCUACAGAAUGUUAACCCCGUAGUUGCUAGAGCCCGCUGGAUGGGCAGGUUCCUCCUGUUCCCCCUGCUGGUGGGAGGUGAACUUUUCAUAGGGAUAGAACCCAGGCAUGAUGCAAGGAGCAAGCAAUGCAGUAUAUAAUUAUACAGUUUCUGCCUCAAUCUGCUUAUAGAUUUUGACUGGGCGGGUCAAGACCUGAAAGGGACCGGUUUGGUACCGAAGCAUCGGUCGGUAGUGGGCUGUGUAGGACCGGGUAGAAACCAGGACGGUAACGGGUGUAUUUGGUACUGGUUCGGUGACUUUAGCACCGGCUCGCUAUGGUACGGCACUGGGUUGGAACCCGGUCGGUACCAGGACGGUGGUUUAUCUCUGUUUUGUGGGAUUGUUAAUCUGUUUCCUGGGGUGAGAGCAAAAAGUAUCCUCUGGGGCGGGGCACGACUGCAUCACAGGCUUGCUGAGCAGCUUUGGUAUAUCAAUAUUCAGGUUUCAGGUCUUUAGGAGGUAAAUUCCCAUGCGGUAAUGGUUACAUUUCAUACUUGAAAGGGAAAUAAGUUUUCCUUCAGAGUCCAAAUACAGUCCUUUGUUUAAAAGUAACAUGCUUUUAGACUUGAACAUAGAGCUUGUUUAAUUAUAUGUAUCACGGCACUAACAAACAAUUUGAAAAAUAAAGCUGCAUAAGCUUUAUUCUUCAAAGUGCAUCAUCGUAAGUGCUGUGAUGUGAAUAUAUGUAAAAUAACUAGCUCUAGGUCCAAAACCACUUUUACUUUUAAACAAAAAUGACUAUUAGCCCCUAGGGCAGCAGUGUGGAGUAGUGGUUAGGGCUCUGGACUCAACCAGAAAGUCGUGGGUUCAAUUCCAGGUGGGGACACUGCUGCUUUACCCUUGAGCAAGGUACUUUACCUAGAUUGCUCCAGUAAAAACCCAACUGUAUAAAUGGGUAAUUGUAUGUAAAAAAUAUCUUGUAACAAUUGUAAGUCGCCCUGGAUAAGGGAGUCUGCUAAGAAAUAAAUAGUCAUAAUAAUAAUAAUAAUAAUAAUAGAAGGAAAUCUUUUGAUUUUAUGGAAGGCUUUAUUAUUUUACUUGUAUCAUCGAUUAGUACUGUGAUGCCUUGUUAGAAUAUGGUGAAUAAACUUGAGUUCUGGAGGGAGAACGUUUACAAUUGAAAGUUGCAGAGUUUUGCGUCUGUUAAAUAGCAAAAAUAAAUAUUUUCCAUGGGUAAGGCAAUAAACAGUUACAGUCUACUUCAAAGUGGUCAUUCCGUGCUAAUUAAGAUUUACUUUCCUAAAAAAAGACUCGCUGAAUCUCUGCAGAGGAGUUUUGAAUCGGAUGAGAAAAGGGAACCAAAAACCCACUGGAAACAGGAAAUGAGGAUUUCUGUUGCUGUUGUCACCUGUUGAUGAUUCUAGUUCUACAAGUUCUAUUUUAUUUAAAUGAAGUGUUUUAGUUCUGCAUCAUCUAGGAUUUUAUGAUUGAGAAAUGUUUUAUUAAACAUCAUGUAAUCAAAGAAACUACAAAAUGAUAUUGCAAAAGUCUACCGGAAGCCAUAAUAGUAGUAAAACUACAAAGGGGUAACGUAUGUUAACAUAGCCUUAUUCAGCAGGUUUCAUUCGACUUUAUGAAGGAAACAUUGUUAAUUCUAUCCAGUAAUGCAACACUUUUGGCCAUUGCUGUAGUAACAACCAUCUUGGUAUCCCUAUAAUGGAGAACACACUGUGUUUGUGUUUAGUGUUGGUGUGUAAAACUGGACUUUUUAGUUACGGGUCAAACCCGGGGAAUUACAAAUACCGAGUGAUACACGCCGCUGUAUCACUCCAUCAUUAUUAUUUACAGGUGUUUGCCAUAAGGCUCUGGACAUUGUUAAUUAAAUCAAUAAACACCCUUGCACCUGGAAA